rnacentral:rRNA from 1 species
AUUGAACGCUGGCGGCAUGCCUUACACAUGCAAGUCGAACGGCAGCACGGGCUUCGGUCUGGUGGCGAGUGGCGAACGGGUGAGUAAUGUAUCGGAACGUACCAUUGAGUGGGGGAUAACGUAGCGAAAGUUACGCUAAUACCGCAUAUUCUCUCCGGAGGAAAGCAGGGGACCGCAAGGCCUUGCGCUCUUUGAGCGGCCGAUAUCAGAUUAGCUAGUUGGUGGGGUAAAAGCUCACCAAGGCGAAGAUCUGUAGCGGGUCUGAGAGGAUGAUCCGCCACACUGGAACUGAGACACGGUCCAGACUCCUACGGGAGGCAGCAGUGGGGAAUUUUGGACAAUGGGGGCAACCCUGAUCCAGCCAUGCCGCGUGAGUGAAGAAGGCCUUCGGGUUGUAAAGCUCUUUCGGCCGGGAAAAAAUCGCAUGGAUUAAUACUCUGUGUGGAUGAUGGUACCGGAAUAAGAAGCAUCGGCUAACUACGUGCCAGCAGCCGCCGCCGUAA